GGUAUCCAUCGAGAUCAACCUCAAAUCGAUCUUCUCAUAGUAGAUCCUUCUUCUUCAAGUAGGAUCUCAACCUUUUAAAAUCUUGAUCAACUCUUUGAUCAAGAUUGCAGAAUAACUCUUAGAUCUGCAGCCUUUUCUCUUUGUUCCUCGCUGUAGAUGAACAACUUCUCAACUCUUGAUAUGUAGAAAGGUGGGAUUCCCAACCUUUGGGCAUGGAAAAGAGAAGAGAGAGAAGGUGUGGCAUGG
rnacentral:lncRNA from 1 species